rnacentral:rRNA from 1 species
UAGUGAUUUGGUGGCAAGCGUUGUCCGGAAUUAUUGGGCGUAAAGCGCGCGCAGGCGGUUCUUUAAGUCUGAUGUGAAAGCCCACGGCUCAACCGUGGAGGGUCAUUGGAAACUGGAGAACUUGAGUACAGAAGAGGAAAGCGGAAUUCCACGUGUAGCGGUGAAAUGCGUAGAGAUGUGGAGGAACACCAGUGGCGAAGGCGGCUUUCUGGUCUGUAACUGACGCUGAGGCGCGAAAGCGUGGGGAGCAAACAGGAUUAGAUACCCUGGUAGUCCACGCCGUAAACGAUGAGUGCUAAGUGUUAGGGGGUUUCCGCCCCUUAGUGCUGCAGCUAACGCAUUAAGCACUCCGCCUGGGGAGUACGGCCGCAAGGCUGAAACUCAAAGGAAUUGACGGAAUCGAAUU